rnacentral:rRNA from 1 species
GAUAAACGCUGGCGGCGCACAUAAGACAUGCAAGUCGAACGGACUUAACCAUUAGUUUACUAUUGGAGCGGUUAGUGGCGGACUGGUGAGUAACACGUAAGCAACCUGCCUAUCAGAGGGGAACAACAGUUAGAAAUGACUGCUAAUACCGCAUAUGCCUAAGUACCACAUGGUACAAUAGGGAAAGGAGCAAUCCGCUGAUAGAUGGGCUUGCGUCUGAUUAGCUAGUUGGUGGGGUAAAGGCCUACCAAGGCGACGAUCAGUAGCCGGACUGAGAGGUUGAACGGCCACAUUGGGACUGAGAUACGGCCCAG